rnacentral:rRNA from 1 species
CCCUUAGAUGUUCUGGGCCGCACGCGCGCUACACUGAUGAACGCAACGAGACCACCUGUACCGAAAGGCAUGGGUAAACUUGUGAAAGUUCAUCGUGAUGGGGAUAGAUUAUUGCAAUUAUUAAUCUUCAACGAGGAAUUCCUAGUAAGCGCGGGUCAUCAGCUCGCGUUGAUUACGUCCCUGCCCUUUGUACACACCGCCCGUCGCUCCUACCGAUUGAAUGGUCCGGUGAAAUCUUCGGAUUGCUGGAUAGGACUUCAUUGACCUAUCUGCGAGAAGUUGCUUGAACCUUAUCAUUUAGAGGAAGGAGAAGUCGUAACA